rnacentral:rRNA from 1 species
GAUGAACGCUGGCGGCGUGCCUAAUACAUGCAAGUCGAACGCAGUGGGGACGGGUGAGUAACACGUGGGUAACCUCACAUCAGAGGGGAUAACACGUGGAAAUAGGUGCUAAACCGAUACUGAUGGAUGGACACGCGGUGCAUUAGCUAGUUGGGGAGGUAACGGCUCACCAAGGCCACGAUGCAAAGGCGACCUGGGAGGGGGGUCGGCCCAACUGGGAAUGGGAACCGGCCCAGACUCCUACCGGGGGCAGCAGUAGGGGAACUUCGGCAAUUGGGGGAAGUCUGACCGAGCCACGCCGGGGGGAUGGAUGAGGGUUUCGGGUCGUAAAGCUCUGUUGAUAGAGAAGCGGUAACUAACCAGAAAGGGACGGCUAACUACGUGCCAGCAGCCGCGGUAAUAC